AUUGAACGCUGGCGGCAGGCCUAACACAUGCAAGUCGAACGAGUGGCGGACGGGUGAGUAAUGUCUGGGAAACUGCCUGAUGGAGGGGGAUAACUACUGGAAACGGUAGCUAAUACCGCAUACCAUCGGAUGUGCCCAGAUGGGAUUAGCUAGUAGGUGGGGUAAAGGCUCACCUAGGCGACGAUCCCUAGCUGGUCUGAGAGGAUGACCGGCCACACUGGAACUGAGACACGGUCCAGACUCCUACGUGAGGCAGCAGUAGGGAAUAUUGCACAAGGGGCGCAAGCCUGAUGGAGCAAUGCCGCGUGUGUGAAGAAGGCCUUCGGGUUGUAAAGUACUUUCAUCGGGGAGGCGUUACCCGCAGAAAAAGCACCGGCUAACUCCGUGCCAGCAGCCGCGGUAAUAC
rnacentral:rRNA from 1 species